UCAUUUAGAGGAAGUAAAAGUCGUAACAAGGUUUCCGUAGGUGAACCUGCGGAAGGAUCAUUAAUGUUAUAGCAACCCUCUGGCUGAAAAUGCCAGGGGGCACAUCUAUACCACCCUUUGUUUAUCACACCUUUGUUGCUUUGGCAGGCCAGUCUUCGGACUGCCGGCUCCGGCCGGACAGCGCCUGCCAGAGGACCUAAACUCUGUUUGUCUAUAAUGUCUGAGUACUAUAUAAUAGUUAAAACUUUCAACAACGGAUCUCUUGGUUCUGGCAUCGAUGAAGAACGCAGCGAAAUGCGAUAAGUAAUGUGAAUUGCAGAAUUCAGUGAAUCAUCGAAUCUUUGAACGCACAUUGCGCCCCCUGGUAUUCCGGGGGGCAUGCCUGUUCGAGCGUCAUUACAACCCUCAAGCUCUGCUUGGUAUUGGGCCCCGCCGACCCGGCGAGCCCUAAAAUCAGUGGCGGUGCCGUCUGGUUCCGAGCGUAGUAAUUCUUCUCGCUUUGGAGGCCGGGCGUGUGCUUGCCAGCAACCCCCAAUUUUUUUCAGGUUGACCUCGGAUCAGGUAGGGAUACCCGCUGAACUUAAGCAUAUCAAUAA
rnacentral:rRNA from 1 species